rnacentral:tRNA from 1 species
GUCCCUGUACCGCAAUGGAUAGCGCGCUGGACUUCUAAUCCAAUGAUCGUGGAUUCGAAUCCCACCUGGGACG